CUCUCCAAUUCUGAAGUUUUCUCCCUGACUCCUAAUGAAACCAUCCUCCUAAAAGCUUGUUGAUGGGAUGAGAUUUGUCUGUGCUCUGUUGAUGUGAUAAAUCAGGGGGAGCAGUGGUCAUCUCUUCAUCUGUUCUUAGGGUGACCCAGUCUUCUACAGAACUACAAGAACCUCUCCCAUCACAGGAGAAGGAAACGGGGAUUCCAGAAGUUAAAAAGAGAGUAAGAAAAUUUUAGGAACCCUCAGAGAAACUAAAGAAUGGAAAACCCAGCAAGAAUUCUCAGUAUUAUUCUACACUCUACUGUCUACUGAGCCAUCGUAACACCAGAUUGGAAAGUUUACCAAUAUCAAAUAUGCAUCCUCAGUAAUCAGGGGAAUGCAUGGCAGCUCCGGAGAAGCUGACUCAACAAACAGGGUGCCCUUGACCAAGAUGGUAGGCUCUUAAAUACACAUCUAGACCUCAACCCAAACAUCUGUGACUCUUUUUAUGAAACCAAGUCUGGGAGAACAUUAUUUUUCUCAGGAGAAGGGAUCAUUUAUUCCUCAAGAGUAUUCCUUGAUGUCUGACAUUAUAUGAGCUUAUCUUUUUCCUAGCUGUGAC